AUUGAACGCUGGCGGCAUGCCUUACACAUGCAAGUCGAACGGCAGCACGGGAGCAAUCCUGGUGGCGAGUGGCGAACGGGGUGAGUAAUAUAUCGGAACGUGCCCAGUCGUGGGGGAUAACGUAGCGAAAGUUACGCUAAUACCGCAUACGAUCUAAGGAUGAAAGCGGGGGAUCGCAAGACCUCGCGCGAUUGGAGCGGCCGAUAUCAGAUUAGGUAGUUGGUGAGGUAAAGGACUCACCAAGCCAACGAUCUGUAGCUGGUCUGAGAGGACGACCAGCCACACUGGAACUGAGACACGGUCCAGACUCCUACGGGAGGCAGCAGUGGGGAAUUUUGGGACAAUGGACGCAAGUCUGAUCCAGCCAUUCCGCGUGCAGGAUGAAGGCCCUCGGGUUGUAAAC
rnacentral:rRNA from 1 species